rnacentral:rRNA from 1 species
CGUAGGGUGCGAGCGUUAAUCGGAAUUACUGGGCGUAAAGUGUGCGCAGGUGGCCGCGCAAGUCGAGUGUGAAAUCCCCGAGCUUAACUUGGGAAUUGCGCUCGAAACUACGUGGCUCGAGUGUGGCAGAGGUAGGUGGAAUUCCACGUGUAGCGGUGAAAUGCGUAGAGAUGUGGAGGAACACCGAUGGCGAAGGCAGCCUUCUGGGCCAACACUGACGCUCAUGCACGAAAGCGUGGGGAGCAAACAGGAUUAGAUACCCUGGUAGUCCACGCCCUAAACGAUGAUGACUAGUUGUUGGGGGAGUUAAAUCCCUUAGUAACGCAGCUAACGCGUGAAGUCAUCCGCCUGGGGGAGUACGGUCGCAAGAUUA